AAAUGACUCUCGGCAACGGAUAUCUCGGCUCUCGCAUCGAUGAAGAACGCAGCGAAAUGCGAUACUUGGUGUGAAUUGCAGAAUCCCGCGAACCAUCGAGUCUUUGAACGCAAGUUGCGCCCAAAGCCUUUCGGUCGAGGGCACGUCUGCCUGGGUGUCACGCAACCGUCGCUCCAACCCCCUCUGCCUCAAGCAAGGGAUGCGGGGCGGAUUCUGGCCUCCCGUGUGCUCAUUGCUUCCGGUUGGCCCAAAAUUUGAGUCCUCGGCUAUGAACGCCACGACAAUCGGUGGUUGCAUGACCUUCGGACAAAGUCGUGUGCGCCCGUUGGCUCCGGAACUCACAGACCCAUUGCGUACCAAAGUGCACGCUCCCAUUGCGACCCCAGGUCAGGCGGGAACACCCGCUGAGUUUAAGCAUAUCAAUAAGCGGAGGAAAAGAAACUUACCAGGAUUCCCUUAGUAACGGCGAGCGAACCGGGAAGAG
rnacentral:rRNA from 1 species